CUCUCGGGGUUACAGCCUUGCUGAAUUAUUCACCCUUGUCUUUUGCGUACUUCUUGUUUCCUUGGUGGGUUCGCCCACCACUAGGACAAACAUAAACCUUUUGUAAUUGCAAUCAGCGUCAGUAACAAAUUAAUAAUUACAACUUUCAACAACGGAUCUCUUGGUUCUGGCAUCGAUGAAGAACGCAGCGAAAUGCGAUAAGUAGUGUGAAUUGCAGAAUUCAGUGAAUCAUCGAAUCUUUGAACGCACAUUGCGCCCUUUGGUAUUCCAAAGGGCAUGCCUGUUCGAGCGUCAUUUGUACCCUCAAGCUUUGCUUGGUGUUGGGCGUCUUGUCUCUAGCUUUGCUGGAGACUCGCCUUAAAGUAAUUGGCAGCCGGCCUACUGGUUUCGGAGCGCAGCACAAGUCGCACUCUCUAUCAGCAAAGGUCUAGCAUCCAUUAAGCCUUUUUUCAACUUUUGACCUCGGAUCAGGUAGGGAUACCCGCUGAACUUAAGC
rnacentral:sRNA from 1 species